rnacentral:misc_RNA from 1 species
GAAACAAGAAGCAAGACCAUACAAUAAACAACUCACCUAUGGUCAACAGACCUACAGACCCCAACUGAAAUACUGACACUACAACAAAGCACACAACGUACAGAAAAUUAACAGGUGAAAAUUGAGCAACCUGAUGAGAACAGGAUCAAGGGAAGAUAUGGUACAUACAGGAAAUUAACAAACGUAAAGCAAGCAAGCAAGCACAUGACCUGGCAAAGCUCUGCUACACACAGCUUAUACCUUACUCUUCAAACAUGCAACACCAUGGAUUCUUGAGAAAUUUUUGAACAUCAACCUUUCCAAUCACUUAGUUCUGCUGCUUAGAAUACGUUGAUCUUCGAAUUUCAUUCCUGAGAUCCACGCCAAGCAGCUUGCAUUCAUUUCUUUUCGCCUGGACUUUGAAUCUAGUGCUGCUUGUUUCGCCUUCCUCUUCGUAAAAGAUAACUUCAUCAUCUUCAACCAGCUGCUUUUCUUUGAUGAAAUCAAUCCAACCCUUGCCGAACACAGGUUUAUCAUGCUGGCCUUUGUGGCGCUUGGUACAAUUGAACUUCUUGACAGAAUCAUCCUCCAUGUCAAUAACAGGAACCUCUACAGAAAAAUCACCUUCUGGUAUUAGGAAAACUUCUCGGUACUUCUUCAUUGGAACCGCCAUUCGAUACUUGACAUCAGUCUUUCGCAACUUCUUUCUAAAGAGAAGCUUCAUAGC